UACGUAGGGGGCUAGCGUUGUCCGGAAUUAUUGGGCGUAAAGAGCGUGUAGGCGGUCCGGUAAGUCCGCUGUGAAAGUCGGGGGCUCAACCCUCGAAUGCCGGUGGAUACUGUCGGGCUAGAGUGCGGAAGAGGCGAGUGGAAUUCCUGGUGUAGCGGUGAAAUGCGCAGAUAUCAGGAGGAACACCUAUUGCGAAGGCAGCUCGCUGGGACGUAACUGACGCUGAGACGCGAAAGCGUGGGGAGCAAACAGG
rnacentral:rRNA from 1 species